rnacentral:misc_RNA from 1 species
UCUCCAAAGCGGUCCAUGUCUUCCUGCACAUAACAAUAUGAUCCACUUAGAAGCAUAGCCGUGUUUAUUUUUAUGUAACUUAUGGACUAAGGCAUCAUCAUGGCAUCCAAAAUGCAGCUGGAUUAGAAGAAAUUCCUUUUAAACAACAAAAUUCUGAUACAAUAAUAAGAAAUAAAUCUGAUAUUUUUCUAUUGGCAGGGGCACAUCAAUAUAUCAUAGAAAAAAGCAUGUCAAUAUAUUUUUAAGAACUAGAGAAAGCACUCUUAUAAUUCAUUUUGGCAAAUUAUGUCAUAGGCGUACCUGCUAUAUGAUUUCUUUACUUAGUUAUAUUUUUAUAUCAGGAUACGUAAAACAAGUAUACCAGCAUGUUGGAAGAUGAUGCAAAACCUCCUGUCCCCUCCGGACCAUAGAUCAUCAAGCCUUUUGAAACACUGUUAACAUGCUGCAAACUG